CUGCAUCUGAGCACCAAAUCUGGGGCCAUGCCAGCUGCUACAACUCUCUGUCUGACAACUAGAGACCAGGACCUGGACCUCCACCUUCUGUUUCCUGUUGCUUAGCCCAAAUUCUGGCUCUACCGUUUCCAAGAUGUGACUCAGAUCUACCUCCUCCAGGAAGUCUUCCCCAACUACUCCAGCCCAUACUGAUCCUUCUUUUCUCUAACCCUUGAGCUGUCCAAAUGAGGAAAAAAUGCUUUGAUGAGAAGCCCAGAGGUGGAGAGUGUCUUGUUCUAAAUCAAACAGACUCAAACGAGAACCCAGGUCCCUUAAUACUCUUUCUAUCUCUUUCCAUUCCUCUGAGGUGAUCAAGCAAUAUAACAAGCCUACUGUGCUAGAUUUACAUAUAUCCGAUAAUAAUAAUGGAUUAAUCAAUAUAACCAGCCUACUGUGCUAGAUUUACAUAUAUCCAAUAAUAAUGGAUCAAUCAAUAUAGCAAGCCUACUGUGCUAGAUUUACAUGUAUAUCCAAUAAUAAUAAUGGAUCAAUCAAUAUAACAAGCCUACUGUGCUAGAUUUACAUAUAUAUAUCCAAUAAUAAUGGAUCAAUCAAUAUAGCAAGCCUACUGUGCUAGAUUUACAUAUAUAUCCAAUAAUAAUAAGGGAUCAAUCAAUAUAGCAAGCCUACUGUGCUAGAUUUACAUAUAUAUCCAAUAAUAAUAAGGGAUCAAUCAAUAUAGCAAGCCUACUGUGCUAGAUUUACAUAUAUAUCCAAUAAUAAUGGAUUAAUCAAUAUAGCAAGCCUACUGUGCUAGAUUUACAUAUAUAUCCAAUAAUAAUAAGGGAUCAAUCAAUAUAGCAAGCCUACUGUGCUAAAUUUACAUAUAUAUCCAAUAAUAAUAAUGGAUCAAUCAAUAUAGCAAGCCUACUGUGCUAGAUUUACACAUAUAUACAAUAAUAAUAAUGGAUCAAUCCAUAUAACAAGCCUACUGUGCUAGAUUUACAUAUAUAUACAAUAAUAAUAAUGGAUCAAUCCAUAUAACAAGCCUACUGUGCUAACUAGUCCCUUCCCUGGACACUGAGAAUUCAAAUAUGAAAGAAGCAGUCCCUGUCCUCAGGGAGCUUACAUUCAAAUGGGGGCAACAACGUACACAAUCGUGGAUGUGUAGAAAAUGUAGGCAAAGCAGAUAGAAAGUAACCUUUGGGAGAAAGCCCUGGGCAGAAGGUGUUGCUUGAGAUGAGUCAUCAUUCUCAUUACAAAUAAACACAUCACUUACUAAUGUGUGCA
rnacentral:lncRNA from 1 species